rnacentral:rRNA from 1 species
UACGGAGGGUGCGAGCGUUGUCCGGAAUCACUGGGCGUAAAGGGCGCGUAGGUGGCGCGGGAAGUCAACGGUGAAAGUUCAGGGCUCAACCCUGAAUCGGCCGUCGAUACUCCCGGGCUCGAGCACUGUAGAGGCAGGUGGAAUUCCGGGUGUAGCGGUGGAAUGCGUAGAGAUCCGGAAGAACACCGGUGGCGAAGGCGGCAUCCUGGACCAACACUGACACUGAGGAGCGAAAGCCAGGGGAGCAAACGGG